UACAGAGGGUGCGAGCGUUAAUCGGAAUUACUGGGCGUAAAGCGUGCGUAGACGGCUAUCUAAGUCGGGUGUGAAAGCCCCGGGCUCAACCUGGGAACUGCGUCCGAUACUGGCAGGCUUGAAUCCGGGAGAGGGAUGUGGAAUUCCAGGUGUAGCGGUGAAAUGCGUAGAUAUCUGGAGGAACACCGGUGGCGAAGGCGGCAUCCUGGACCGGCAUUGACGCUGAGGCGCGAAAGCUAGGGGAGCAAACGGG
rnacentral:rRNA from 1 species